GCUUACGGCCAUACCAGCCUGAAUACGCCCGAUCUCGUCCGAUCUCGGAAGCUAAGCAGGGUCGGGCCUGGUUAGUACUUGGAUGGGAGACCGCCUGGGAAUACCAGGUGCUGUAAUCU
rnacentral:rRNA from 1 species